AUUAGGCAUGACAUGGCUAGAAUGCUGGUUUCCGAGGACAUGACCCUUGAUAGGAAAGUCUGGAGGUCUAGUAUCAGGGUUGUAGGAUAGGGGCUCCUAGAGUUUUUCGUACUUCUCAUGGUCGGCGUCCGGCGAGGCAGAGGGAGGCCUAAGAGGUAUUGGGGAGAGGUGAUUAGGCAUGACAUGUCUAGAAUGCGGGUUUCCGAGGACAUGGCCCUUGAUAGGAAAGUUUGGAGGUCUAGUAUCAGGGUUGUAGGAUAGGGGCUCCUAGGUUUUUCGUACUCCUCACCCGGGGUUGGGUAAGGCUUGGCAGGGCUAUCCAUAGAUGAUUAGUGUAUUAGAUUGUGUCUCCUUUACUGAGUCGAGAGUCGAUUGGAAACAACCUCUCUGCCCUUUCGGGUAGGGGUAAGGCCCGUCUACAUAUUACCCUCCCCAGACCCCAAUUUGUGGGACUAUACUGGGUAGUUGUUGUUGUUG
rnacentral:lncRNA from 1 species